GCCGAGCGGUAGAGAUCUUUCGGGAUCUUGAGAGCGGCGUACGGGUGCGGAACACGUGUGCAACCUGCCUUUAUCAGGGGGAUAGCCUUUCGAAAGGAAGAUUAAUACCCCAUAAUAUAUCGAGUGGCAUCACUUGAUAUUGAAAACUCCGGUGGAUAGAGAUGGGCACGCGCAAGAUUAGAUAGUUGGUGAGGUAACGGCUCACCAAGUCUGCGAUCUUUAGGGGGCCUGAGAGGGUGAUCCCCCACACUGGUACUGAGACACGGACCAGACUCCUACGGGAGGCAGCAGUGAGGAAUAUUGGACAAUGGGUGCGAGCCUGAUCCAGCCAUCCCGCGUGAAGGAUGACGGCCCUAUGGGUUGUAAACUUCUUUUGUAUAGGGAUAAACCUACCCUCGUGAGGGUAGCUGAAGGUACUAUACGAAUAAGCACCGGCUAACUCCGUGCCAGCAGCCGCGGUAAUACGGAGGGUGCAAGCGUUAUCCGGAUUUAUUGGGUUUAAAGGGUCCGUAGGCGGAUCUGUAAGUCAGUGGUGAAAUCUCACAGCUUAACUGUGAAACUGCCAUUGAUACUGCAGGUCUUGAGUGUUGUUGAAGUAGC
rnacentral:rRNA from 1 species